CGCUGGCGGCAGGCCUAACACAUGCAAGUCGAACGGAUCCUUCGGGAUUAGUGGCGGACGGGUGAGUAACACGUGGGAACGUGCCCUUUGGUUCGGAACAACUCAGGGAAACUUGAGCUAAUACCGGAUAAGCCUUUCGAGGGAAAGAUUUAUCGCCAUUGGAGCGGCCCGCGUAGGAUUAGCUAGUUGGUGGGGUAAAGGCCCACCAAGGCUACGAUCCUUAGCUGGUCUGAGAGGAUGAUCAGCCACAUUGGGACUGAGACACGGCCCAAACUCCUACGGGAGGCAGCAGUGGGGAAUAUUGGACAAUGGGCGAAAGCCUGAUCCAGCAAUGCCGCGUGAGUGAUGAAGGCCUUAGGGUUGUAAAGCUCUUUUACCAGGGAUGAUAAUGACAGUACCUGGAGAAUAAGCUCCGGCUAACUCCGUGCCAGCAGCCGCGGUAAUACGGAGGGAGCUAGCGUUGUUCGGAAUUACUGGGCGUAAAGCGCGCGUAGGCGGUUACUCAAGUCAGAGGUGAAAGCCCGGGGCUCAACCCCGGAACUGCCUUUGAAACUAGGUAACUAGAAUCUUGGAGAGGUCAGUGGAAUUCCGAGUGUAGAGGUGAAAUUCGUAGAUAUUCGGAAGAACACCAGUGGCGAAAGCGACUGACUGGACAAGUAUUGACGCUGAGUACGAAAGCGUGGGGAGCAAACAGGAUUAGAUACCCUGGUAGUCCACGCCGUAAACGAUGAUAACUAGCUGUCCGGCACUUGUGCCUGGGUGGCGCAGCUAACGCAUUAAGUUAUCCGCCUGGGAGUACGGUC
rnacentral:rRNA from 1 species